rnacentral:misc_RNA from 1 species
AUCGAUUUUCAAACAGCCAUUGGCACAGUGGACUGUGAUCACAGAAGGUGACAUGUCGUGGAUAGUUCUAUACGCAGUCCUUCAUCUCUAUGUUACAGUUAUCCAUUCAUCUGGAAUAACCCCGCAUCCAUCUGUCAAGGCUGAGGUCGGUUCUUUUCUGAAAAAUGCACCCUGGAAACACACGGAGAUGACGGGAUCUUUGAGUGGGGGACCAAUGGUUCUCACCGUGAAGUUCAAGUACAAACUUGAUGGGGAAUUUGUGUUCUCUAAAAAAUUCCCUGGUCAAAAAUUCAAAGACUGCUCAGAUAUAUUGAAGAAGGAACCGUACAGACGGAACAGAGACGGCGUGUACACAAUAUAUUUGAGUAACGGAGUCAAGAGAUGGGUGUUUUGUGACAUGACAACAGACGGAGGGGGUUGGACUGUAAUACAAAGACGAUUUGACGGAAGCACAGAUUUUCAGAGCAAAUCCUGGCAGAAGUACGCUGAAGGAUUCGGACAUCCUGGUCAUGAGUACUGGUUUGGUAACAACGCUAUUCAUGAUCUAACAAAGUCUGGUCCGUAUGAAAUUAAGAAUCGAUUUAAAGAAAUUUGACGAUGAUAAAGGACAUGUACAGUAUUCAACAUUUAAAGUGGGGAGCAAGUCUGACAAGUAUUUGUUGACUGUUGGAGGUUUUAAAGGAUCUCUUGGCAUGAAGGAUUCCUUUUCUUAUCACAAUGGAAUGAAGUUUUCGACUAAGGAUCGCGAUAAUGAUAAAGCUGGAGCAAACUGUGCAGCGGCCAAUGGAAAUGGAUGGUGGUUUAAUGCAUGUCACCAUUCUAAUUUAAACGGAAUAUACUACAAGAAAGAGACCUCUACAUCAGCUGGUAUGACAUGGUUUUACUGGGAUAAUGCGAAUAAAUGGGUGUCACUAAAGUCAUCUAAAAUGAUGAUAAAGCCAAAAUGAAUAAUAUAGAGCGAAACAGAAUUAAUAAAUAAUCCAUUUAU